rnacentral:rRNA from 1 species
GACGAACGCUGGCGGCGUGCUUAACACAUGCAAGUCGAACGAAGAGCGAUGGAAGCUUGCUUCUAUCAAUCUUAGUGGCGAACGGGUGAGUAACGCGUAAUCAACCUGCCCUUCAGAGGGGGACAACAGUUGGAAACGACUGCUAAUACCGCAUACGAUCUAACCUCGGCAUCGAGGAUAGAUGAAAGGUGGCCUCUACAUGUAAGCUAUCACUGAAGGAGGGGAUUGCGGCUGAUUAGCUAGUUGGAGGGGUAACGGCCCACCAAGGCGAUGAUCAGUAGCCGGUCUGGGGGGAUGAACGGCCACAUUGGGACUGAGACACGGCCCAGACCCCUACGGGAGGCAGCAGGGGGGAAUCUUCCGCAAUGGACGAAAGUCUGACGGAGCAACGCCGGGGGGGUGAUGACGGCCUUCGGGUUGUAAAGCUCUGUUAAUCGGGACGAAAGGCCUUCUUGCGAAUAGUUAGAAGGAUUGACGGUACCGGAAUAGAAAGCCACGGCUAACUACGUG